rnacentral:lncRNA from 10 species
AUUUUUAGUAGAGACGGGGUUUCACCAUGUUAACCAGGAUGGUCUCGAUCUCCUGACCUCGUGAUGCGCCCACUUCAGCCUCUCAAAGUGCGGGGAUUACAGGCAUGAACCACCGCGUCCAGCCUACUAAUUUUUGUAUUUUUAGUAGAGAUGGAGUUUCACCUUCUUGGUCAGGCUGGUCUUGUACUCCUGACCUCGUGAUCCUCCCGCCUCGGCCUCUCAAAGUGCUGGAGUUACAGGUGUGAGCCACUGUGCCCGGCCUCUUUUUUCUUUUUUUUUGAGAUGGAGCGUCACUGUGUCACCCAGGCUGGAGUGCAGCGGCACGAUCUCGGCUCACUGCAACCUCCACCUCCCAGGUUCAGGCGAUUCUCCUGCCUCAACCUCCCGAGUAGGUGGGAUUAUAGGCACAUGCCCAGCUAAUUUUUGUAUUUUCAGUAGAGGCGGGGUUUCGCCAUUUUGGCCAGCCUGAUCUCAAACCCCUGACCUCAGGUGAUCUGCUCACCUCGGCCUCCCAAAGUGCUGGGAUUACAGGCAUGGCCACGCCUGGCCAAAAUGCAUGAAUCUUAACUGUAAAUUCUGAAAAUGGCUGCACCUGUGUAGCCGCACCCCCCCCCCCAAUAAAAAUCUAAGCGUAUCCAUCACCCUAGAAGUUCCUUUGUGUCCCUCCCUCCCAGUCCCUGCUCAUGAUCUUGCCCUGAGGCAGCUGCUGGUCCCCUCUUUUUCUGCCGUGGAUGAGUUCUGCCUCUGCGAGGACUCACCAGUGGGCAAUCUUGCAGCAGGCUUCUCUCCAUCAGCUCAGGGAGCUUCAUCAACAUCGGGUGCACCGCCAGCUCCUCUCUUUCAUCCACGCAUAAGAUCCUGUUGUGCGAAUAUUCUGCAGUUGGUCUAUCUGUUCUCCUGUGGGUGGGCACAGGGGUUGGAGAAAGCUCCUAUGAGCAUCAGAGGACACAUCCUUUGUGGUUACACCUUUCACUUCUUUUCUGGAUGACACCUGGGGGUAGAAUCUUCAGGUCAAGUGGCAGGUGCGUGUUAACACGUUAACAGUGCUUGGUGUUGUCAGUCUUCAGAGCUGGCGUGUAGUGGUAUCUUGUUGUGGGACUUUUUUGUUUGUCUUUUGUUUUGUGACAAGGUCUCUCUCUGUUACCCAGGCUGGAGUGCAGUGGCACAAUCAUGGCUCGCUGUAUCCUUGAUCCCCCAGGCUCAAGCAGUCUUCCCACUUCAGCCUCCCGAGUAGCUGGGACCAUCGGUAUGCACCACCACACCCAGCUAAUUUUUUACUUUUUGUGGAGACAGGGUCUCACUAUGUUGGCCAGGCUGGUCUUGAACUCCUGGGCUCAAGCAGUCCUCCCACCUGGGCCUCCCAAAGUGUUGGGAUUAUAGGCAUGAGCCACCAUGAUUGGCCUUGGUGUGUUUUGUUUUGUGUUUUUGUUGUUUUCAAGACACUGUCUCGCUCUGUCAUUCAGGCUGGAGUGCUGUGGCAUGAUCCCAGCUCACUGCAACCUCCACCUCCCAGGUUCAAGCGAUUCUUCUGCCUCAGCCUCCCGAGUAGCUGGGAUUACAGGUGCACGCCACCACGCCCGACUAAUUUUUGUAUUUUUAGUAGAGACGGUGUUGGUCGGGCUGGUCUCAAACUCCUGAUCACAGGUGGUCUGUCCACCUCGGCCUCCUGAAGUGCGGGAUUACAGGUGUGAGCCACCACGCCCAGCCCCUCGGUGGGUUUUGAGUCGCAUUUCCCUGUGACUGAUGAUGUUGAGCACUUUUUCAGGUGUUUAUUAGCCAUUUGUGUAACUUCCUUUGUGCAAAGUCUAUCAGAUCUGCUGCCACAAACAGAGACCUCACCCGCCGCAGUUUGUUUUCAAGGGAAGCCUCCUCUCCAGCUUCCGCCUGUCUCCACCCGCUCUCCAGUGCCUUCCAGGAGUUUUUUUAACAUGUCUAUUUUUGUUCAGAAUCUAUCUUUGUUAUCCAUGGGGGAUCAGUCCACCCAGGCUGCUCCACCAUUGCUCCCUGUGGGGCGAGUUUACUUGUUUAAAUUAUAUUUAUUAUAGAUGGUGUGGAGAUGCUUGCCCUUCCUUUUCUGUGACCUGUGCAGUGAAGGGAAUGUGUGGGUUCAUCCAGGUUGGGUCUUGGGAAGUAGUUUGAUAGAAAAGGAGGGGAGGGCUCGAGGCAGGGGCUUGGGGUCAAUCUAACGACGGCCAAGGCACUGAGUCGAGAGGCAGGCAGGAGAGGGCAGGAGACAGACUCGUGAAGGUGGCAAGGUCAAGAAUUGGAAAACCACGAAAUGAAGGAAUUACUGUAUAGAGAAAUUACCUGCUUGAUUAGGUAAACAGGAAAAUAGCAGCUUGUGUCAUGAGUGAGGAUGCCUGAAGCUCACAUUCCAGGGGAGCCGCGGCCUCUGGAGAUGACCUGGGAAAGGCCACAGACCCAGGAGUGGGGGGCUCGCGUGGGAUGGGAGAUGAAGGAGAUGGGGUGCCCAAAGCUGCAGCCUUGAGAAAAUAUGGGGGAGACAGGGGUGGGUCGAGAGCCCCGCAGAGAGGAGGAGGGUGUGAGCCUCUGGAGAGCUGGGCCUGGGUAAGCGGGAAGGGGUCAGGGAUGCCCCCACCUUCCUUCCCGACCUGUUGGUGGUGCAGGCGGACUUCUGCAGGGGAGCAGUGCAUGGGACAGCAGCGGGGGCAGCUGAGUGUCCAGGAGAACAAGCACAAAGGGGACCUGGACUGUCCCACACCCCGGUCUGCUCUGGGGAUGCAGGGGUGGGGUGACAGCCAGGGAAGGGCGCUACUGGGAGGGCCUAGGCAAUGGAGUUACCUGGGUUUUCUUUGUGGGUGAGGCUGUACCCCCUGACUGUACCCAAGUGUCCGUGGGUGUACCUGGAAUAUUGUGGGACAAAAAUGGAAACAUCAACAAAUUUUACUGAUGAGAAAACUGCAGUGGCUUGCCCAGAACUGGCAGAGCCAGGAUGGGAUCUGGCCGCCUCAGGAGGCUCUUCCUGGCUCUAAAGAGAAUCCAGUUC